CAUCAACCGAUAAACUACUACAUCUUUCUUUUGGCCCAGUCUCCAAGCACGUUCACGUGCUUGAGCAUCCGUUGAGGGAUUCCAAUCAGGAUCAAAAAGAAUUACCCUGUCAGCACCAGUCAAAUUGACUCCUAAUCCACCAACACGAGUAGUUAGAAGAAACACAUCAAAAUACUCAUUUUUAUUAAAGUUGUCCACCAAAUCUUGUCUUAAAGCAAUAGAUGUGCUACCAUCCAUGCGACAGUAAUGAACAUCCGGCAAAUCCUUUAAUCCUAUUUCCAGUAUGU